rnacentral:rRNA from 1 species
AUGCAAGUCGUACGCACUGGCCCAACUGAUUGAUGGUGCUUGCACCUGAUUGACGAUGGAUCACCAGUGAGUGGCGGACGGGUGAGUAACACGUAGGUAACCUGCCCCGGAGCGGGGGAUAACAUUUGGAAACAGAUGCUAAUACCGCAUAACAACAAAAGCCACAUGGCUUUUGUUUGAAAGAUGGCUUUGGCUAUCACUCUGGGAUGGACCUGCGGUGCAUUAGCUAGUUGGUAAGGUAACGGCUUACCAAGGCGAUGAUGCAUAGCCGAGUUGAGAGACUGAUCGGCCACAAUGGAACUGAGACACGGUCCAUACUCCUACGGGAGGCAGCAGUAGGGAAUCUUCCACAAUGGGCGCAAGCCUGAUGGAGCAACACCGCGUGAGUGAAGAAGGGUUUCGGCUCGUAAAGCUCUGUUGUUGGAGAAGAACGUGCGUGAGAGUAACUGUUCACGCAGUGACGGUAUCCAACCAGAAAGUCACGGCUAACUACGUGCCAGCAGCCGCGGUAAUACGUAGGUGGCAAGCGUUAUCCGGAUUUAUUGGGCGUAAAGCGAGCGCAGGCGGUUGCUUAGGUCUGAUGUGAAAGCCUUCGGCUUAACCGAAGAAGUGCAUCGGAAACCGGGCGACUUGAGUGCAGAAGAGGACAGUGGAACUCCAUGUGUAGCGGUGGAAUGCGUAGAUAUAUGGAAGAACACCAGUGGCGAAGGCGGCUGUCUGGUCUGCAACUGACGCUGAGGCUCGAAAGCAUGGGUAGCGAACAGGAUUAGAUACCCUGGUAGUCCAUGCCGUAAACGAUGAGUGCUAGGUGUUGGAGGGUUUCCGCCCUUCAGUGCCGGAGCUAACGCAUUAAGCACUCCGCCUGGGGAGUACGACCGCAAGGUUGAAACUCAAAGGAAUUGACGGGGGCCCGCACAAGCGGUGGAGCAUGUGGUUUAAUUCGAAGCUACGCGAAGAACCUUACCAGGUCUUGACAUCUUGCGCUAACCUUAGAGAUAAGGCGUUCCCUUCGGGGACGCAAUGACAGGUGGUGCAUGGUCGUCGUCAGCUCGUGUCGUGAGAUGUUGGGUUAAGUCCCGCAACGAGCGCAACCCUUGUUACUAGUUGCCAGCAUUAAGUUGGGCACUCUAGUGAGACUGCCGGUGACAAACCGGAGGAAGGUGGGGACGACGUCAGAUCAUCAUGCCCCUUAUGACCUGGGCUACACACGUGCUACAAUGGACGGUACAACGAGUCGCAAGCUCGCGAGAGUAAGCUAAUCUCUUAAAGCCGUUCUCAGUUCGGACUGUAGGCUGCAACUCGCCUACACGAAGUCGGAAUCGCUAGUAAUCGCGGAUCAGCAUGCCGCGGUGAAUACGUUCCCGGGCCUUGUACACACCGCCCGUCACACCAUGGGAGUUUGUAACGCCCAAAGUCGGUGGCCUAACCUUUAUGGAG